rnacentral:lncRNA from 1 species
GAUCACCCCAAGUUUUUGGCUUAGGCAGCUGGUAAAAUGGAGAUGCUGUUUACUUGAGAUGGAAUUAAAGGUAAGGACAUUUUGGUGUUGGUGUUGGUAAUCUAUAGUCUUAGGACAUAUACUAGAAUAAAAUAUUUACUUCCUACUCGUUUUUUUUUAAACUAACAUUUAUUCUACUUUUUAUGAAUAAAUUGUAUCCUUUCUGAAGAGCUAAUGUGUUUGGGAUUAAUUUUGCUACAUGGGGAUGUGGUGUUUUAAGGAGUAAAACACAGUAAUAACUUUUGGCUGGGUGUGGUGGCUCACACCUGUAAUCCCAGCACUUUGGGAGGCCAAAGUGGGUGGAUCACCUGAGGUCAGGAGUUCGAGACCAGCCUGGCCAACAUGGUGAGACUCCCCCCGAUUUAAUUACGGUUGUGAUGAGUGCUUGUACAGAAAAGUCCAGUAUCUGCAGAGGGGCACAGUGAUACAAGUAGUUGGGAAUGGCUGAAAUAAGGAUGGAUUGACAAGAGGCCAAGUGUGGUUGAGGAUGUGUACCUCAAUUUCUUUUUCUCUAAAAUGGGAUGAUAAUAAUUACUACCUCAAAGGGU